CAAGUCGGUAUGCUCCUUUUUUUCCGUUCUAUACUAUGUCCUCUUUGUUGUGCUAGCCCCUCCGCCGCGUAGAAGCCCCUCCUAUUCUCCUGUCCCCUCUUCAUUCCGGACCACCGACGAUUCGUCCACGAGCGGCCGCUCGCCCGAGGCCGCCGGCGGAUCGCGCGCCUCAACCUAGCCCCGCGUAGGGGCGCCGGCACCAACAUGAGCGAUGCGGCGGACGGGUUUUCUUGGCCACGAGGGGCGGCGGACGGAGAGAAUGGGUGCACUUCGAUGGUGAGGGAAGGAGGAGGCGGUCGGGGUUCUCACGGGUGGGGCAACGGGCUAGCCGACGUGGUCGCGGGACUGCCACCGCGAGCAGCCGGGAGGGGCGGCCGGGGCGCGGCAUGGGCAGCAGAGGAGUUAGACAACAGUCCCCUGUACGGUCGCGGGAGGGUCACCGGGAGCGGCUGGGAGGGGCGGCAGGGGCACGGCAUAGGCGGUAGAGGGGUUAGGCGUCGAUCCCCUGUGCGGUUCUUCGAAGUCAGUACUCCGGCAGCGCGGCCUCCAGAAGGUAGAGUCUAAACAAAAGAAAUGCCAUAAAGGAGUCACUACACUACGAAGUUGAAGAGAAGGCCACGAAGAGUUUAACUACAUUGGUUCUCCACAACAGUUCUUAAAGUAGUACCGGUGACGAAAGGGUGGCUCCAUAAACGGCGUACGUCGGUACGUGUUCACAGCAGUGAACGUAGAGGAAACACGCAAGGGCAGUAAGGUACGGCGUGCUCCGACGUCAGUGGUGUGGGAACUCAUCCAUUAAGUAGUUAACUAUCAAAAACAGGGACGGCACUGAACGUAGAAAGAUGGAACGAAGUUUAAAUUAAACUAACUUACAGUUUAUUUCUAGUUGAAAUAGAGACUUACUAAGUACCUUCACGUUCGACUUAAUAUAAGUCCUAUAAGACUAAUAAUGAAGGUUCAAUAUAAGAUUGUGUUACAGAAACCAAAUUGUUGAACGUUCACAAAGAACAUGACUACAAUUGGAGUAUUUUUUCUGAGGGUCCACCUGUAGACGAUAUUUAUUAGUCCAUGACGAAAGGUAAUAGUUUAAGUUUACGAGUCACUUUGAUAGGUUACCUACCUGACCAACAAAUUGUGACUUAGUAGUUGUGAAAUAAGAGUAGAAUAGAGGAGAAGGUAAGUGACUUUGUAGACGUCACGUGCGAACAAUGAAGAAACUGACGAACUUGUAUUUAUAACUCUUUUGAGUUAAAAGAUACCCGUACUUAUUAGAAAGCUAAGUAUGUAUUUUAGUUUUACACCAAGGUCAAGGUCCUCCAUACCGUACUAAAGAGACGACCGCACACACACACAACGAACAAACAGACAACGGCCGACCUAACGUGUCGCCGUUACGGCCCUCGGCCCCCAGUAACCUUUUCACUCUACGGCUGCAGUGAGUUUUGCUAGGAACGUACCAUAACUGUCUUAGUAGGUGUUUAAUAAACUACCGUAACUGGGAACGAACCGUGCACGAACCGUAACUGACUUAGGAUGUAACCGCUCGAACAUAGGGCUGGUUGGAGAAACAGAAGUAAAAAAUCUUCGAUUGAGUGAACCAAACACGCGAGGUUAAACGUAUAUCUCUCCAAGUCUACAGACCGGUCGAUCCGUGACGGAUAAAGAGAUUUGGACUUUUAAGUUUUUAGUGAAAUCAAAAGUGAUUGUGUCGAUCCCGGUUGUGGACGAUAGUUUUCUCGGAGUUGUCACCUGCCCCACCGCCUCAUCAGUGCAUGGUUGUUAUGUCAUUGACGAUCGAUAUGAAGACCUCGUUUAAGAAACAGCAUCAGUAGUCCGGCGUCUACCGCAACGGCCCUAUGUGCGGGUGGUUCCAGAGGCCGGUAUAUCCGGGUACUCCCUAGGUCCCACAACGAGAUACGUCGUAGUACUGGUGUUACCACUGAAACAAAACUUUUAUGAUAAACUUACCGUAGUGUUGUAACUCAUGUGUAAAAAAAAAGUUGUCAACGAAAUAAAAAUAUGUUACACUUAGAGGGACCCAAUCUCGAACUCUGCACGCAAUGUGUGCCAAUUAAAAAGUGCUAAAUAACAACAACGAUAAAGGGUGCUCCAUGAACUAUUUUUCACAAGCCGCACACCACGAGAAGUUACUGAACAAGAGAAAACUUCUCGUUCGUUAUCUCGUACUCUCACGGCACUAGGAGGUUUAAGGACGAGCGAAGAUAUGGGCAUAUAUACAAUAAAAACUGACUAAAAUAAGGGAACUUACGAUGUAUUCUCCACAGAAACGUCUCGAAUUCUUGUUAAAUAAACCAACCUCGAUUGAUUAUGACAUAACGUUUCCCGGUCUGUCGGUUGGUUGAUGUUUACCUGACGGGCUUAAAUAGGUACACAACCUUAUCUACUAUAAACUACUAAACUUGGAACGUUGCCAUCCCAAAGGUGUACAUAGAUGGAGUUAAAUAAACUACUAUGAACAACUUUCUAUAAAGAUUAUGAAAUCACGUACACUAUAUAAUAAAAUCUAUCAUCAUGAUGAAAUUACACCACACAAUGUAAAAUCGACCGUUUACCCAAUUUAAGUAGAUGCGUAGUCCAGUAGUCGUGAGUCAUAGAGACACAAGAACUGUAUGUUUUUGAUAAGCACACACUUGAGAACUUCAUUUUAUGGUAUAACAGACGAACUAACAAUAACAUCAAUUGUUUUACAAAUUUUUAAAUCGUUUUUGUAUGUUGUAGGUCAUUAUAUCAUGAAUAAUCGUAGAUAGCACUAAUAGUUGUAAAUAUAAACAUUCUGUACACAACGUGUACGUACAAAUAUGACAAAAUUCAAAAGUUGACGUCCCCACACUCUGAAAUCGUACGAGACAUGUAUUCGUCCCUCAAGUCCCCGUCUUGACUUCCAUCUGAGCCCACGUCAAUAGGUGAGGAUGAACGAAAGUGAUCUUGUUGUAUAAUGUGACACUUUCGUUCUAGUACGUGACCGUAGCCAAAAUAAUGAGGUGUCUACACCCAGUAGCCGGUACUGUUUUAUACCCUAUUGUUUAUAAUACCUAUGUUCUACCGUUGUAUUUGAAGCGUUAAAAUACUAAACACUAGAGCAUCUAAAAACGGUACGCCUCCUGUUUACUAAGACCGAUAUACGUGACCUCAAAUUAGGUACAUACACUUGAUUAAUCUAUAGCUAGAUACAUUUAAACCUCUUAGUAUACACAAACUCUACUAAACUCUCACGGGAAUGGCCGGCACAUCCAGGUACCAUUAAGCUAACAAGACUAAACACAAGGUAAAAAUGAAUUGCCUCUACAUAAAAGUGAUAAUUCACAUUAUUAAUUAUUGAUAACCUACAC
rnacentral:rRNA from 1 species